rnacentral:rRNA from 6 species
ACGGGUGAGUAACGCGUGGGAAUCUACCCAUCUCUACGGAACAACUCCGGGAAACUGGAGCUAAUACCGUAUACGUCCUUCGGGAGAAAGAUUUAUCGGAGAUGGAUGAGCCCGCGUUGGAUUAGCUAGUUGGUGGGGUAAUGGCCUACCAAGGCGACGAUCCAUAGCUGGUCUGAGAGGAUGAUCAGCCACACUGGGACUGAGACACGGCCCAGACUCCUACGGGAGGCAGCAGUGGGGAAUAUUGGACAAUGGGCGAAAGCCUGAUCCAGCCAUGCCGCGUGAGUGAUGAAGGCCCUAGGGUUGUAAAGCUCUUUCAACGGUGAAGAUAAUGACGGUAACCGUAGAAGAAGCCCCGGCUAACUUCGUGCCAGCAGCCGCGGUAAUACGAAGGGGGCUAGCGUUGUUCGGAAUUACUGGGCGUAAAGCGCACGUAGGCGGAUUGUUAAGUUAGGGGUGAAAUCCCAGGGCUCAACCCUGGAACUGCCUUUAAUACUGGCAAUCUCGAGUCCGAGAGAGGUGAGUGGAAUUCCGAGUGUAGAGGUGAAAUUCGUAGA